rfam:Paenibacillus sp. Soil522 contig_14, whole genome shotgun sequence.
GCGGCAAAUCUCCGGUCUGAGGAACACGAACUUCAUAUAAGGCUAACGUACGUUGGAUGAGACUGCGCAACAAGUCAAAGUCCUUACUGCCGAAGGCGUGCGGGAGUAAAUGGAGCAGAUAGAUGGAGAGGAAGAUAGCGUU